GAGUAACGCGUGGGUAACCUGCCUUAUACAGGGGGAUAACAGUUAGAAAUGACUGCUAAUACCGCAUAAGCGCACAGGAUUGCAUGAUCUGGUGUGAAAAACUCCGGUGGUAUAAGAUGGACCCGCGUCUGAUUAGCUGGUUGGUGAGGUAACGGCUCACCAAGGCGACGAUCAGUAGCCGGCUUGAGAGAGUGAACGGCCACAUUGGGACUGAGACACGGCCCAAACUCCUACGGGAGGCAGCAUG
rnacentral:rRNA from 1 species